UUAGUCGGUCUCGGAGCAAACUACUGCGAAGCAUGUUAUUUACUAUGACAAUACGCGUAUAACCUUACCAGACCUUGCAUAUCUAGCUCUUUUUAUUUUUUUCAUUUAAUUUGAGUGAGUAUAUUUUAAAUCUUUUUUUAAAAUAAUACGCAGAUACAGGUGUUGCAUGGCUGUCGUC
rnacentral:rRNA from 1 species